rnacentral:rRNA from 1 species
AAUGAACGCUGGCGGCGUGUCUUAAGCAUGCAAGUCGUGCGGCAAGGGUAGCAAUACCCCUAGAGCGGCGGACUGGUGAGUAACGCGUGGGUGAUCUGCCUCUGGGAUGGGGAUAGCCACUAGAAAUAGUGGGUAAUACCGAAUACGUUCGUCGGGCUGUGGCCUGACGAGGAAAGGCGCUUCGGCGCCACCCGGAGAUGAGCCCGCGUCCCAUUAGCUAGUUGGUGAGGUAACGGCCCACCAAGGCGAUGAUGGGUAGGCGGCCUGAGAGGGUGUACGCCCACACUGGGACUGAGAUACGGCCCAGACUCCUACGGGAGGCAGCAGCUAAGAAUAUUCCGCAAUGGACGAAAGUCUGACGGAGCGACGCCGCGUGGAUGAAGAAGGCCGAAAGGUUGUAAAAUCCUUUUGUUGGGGAAGAAUAAGCGUGGGAGGGAAUGCCCGCGUGAUGACAUGAACCGACGAAUAAGUCCCGGCUAACUACGUGCCAGCAGCCGCGGUAA